GGACUGGGAUGGGGGGUGGAGCGUGGUGCUGCCCCCUAGUGUCUGUGUGUGUCUCUGUCCCCAGCACGCGGGAGCCCCCCAAUCUCUCCCCCCAGCAGCAGAAACGGGACCUUUACCGCCGGAUCCGCUCCCACAUCUGGAAGCAGCACGGCCGUGCCCCGGUUCACGGAUGGAGCCCCCCGGCCAUCCCCCAGGUAAUUGCUCCCCAGGGCACCAGGAGCAGGAGGGGUGGGGGUGGAGGGGGGGCAGUGAUUGGGAUGCACCGUCCCUUUAAGUCCCCAAGGCUGGGUCGGGAUGAGGUUGAGGGGGUCCCCGCCUGCCCCCACGGCGGUGCCCAGGUCUCUCUCGUUGCAGGUUCGGGCGGAGCAGGCUGAGGGCCAGGAUCUGCCCAUGCUGGCACAGCUGCGGCUGCUGGACCAGAAAGAUCCCAGCACCAAGCUGUGGUGUGCUGUUGGGAUGGGGGUGCCUAGAACGGACAGCGGCGACUCGGGGGCGCCCUGGCCUGCCCCCCCCAGCCUGCUGUGGGUCUGCUCUGGGACGCACUCGGCCAGCGAGGUCACGGUGAUGGACGCUGCCCGCGCCAACCUUGUCCUGGCGCAGUUUGUGCUGCCCAACGCCCAUGUGCUGUGUGCCGCCUGGCUGCCCGGUCACCGGCCACCCAGUGCCGAGAGCACAAAGCUGGAACCCGAGAUCCUGGAAGACCCCUUGGCCCCUGACCCCCCAGAGCCAGAGGAGGAGGCGGGGACCCUGGAGGCGGACAGUGAUGCCAUUGGCACCAUGGACACUGUCUGGCUGGGCACCCAGGAGGGCAGCAUUUCCAUCUACUCGGCCGUUUCCGACUGGCGCCGGUGCCUGCGAACGGUGCAGCUGCAGGACGCCGUGCACAGCGUGGUCCACACCCAGGGCCGCGCAGUGACUGCGCUGGGGAAUGG
ensembl:lncRNA